ACCCUAACAGCUAGCCCACCCAAAAAACUUCAACAAACAACAUUAAUAACCCCACACAAACUAAAACCGAACAAACAAACCAUUUUUCCGCCCUAGUAUGGGAGACAAAAAAGGACUUCCGGAGCUAUAGAAAAAGUACCGCAAGGGAAAGCUGAAAGAGAUAAUGAAAAAAUGCAGUAAAGGCAAUAAAAGCAGAGACCAACCCUCGUACCUUUUGCAUCAUGAUUUAGCAAGUAACAAUUUAAGCAAAGAGCCCUUUAUGUUUAAGACCCCGAAACUAAGCGAGCUACUCCAAGACAGCCUACAUAGGGCAAACCCGUCUCUGUGGCAAAAGGGUGGGAAGAGCUUUGAGUAGAGGUGACAAACCUACCGAGCCUAGUUAUAGCUGGUUGCCUGGGAGCCGAAUAGAAGUUCAGCCUUUUAAUUUUUCUAACCUAAAAUGGCCUCACCUCAGUCACUGGAUAAGAAACAUUUAAAAGAGUUAUUCAAGAGAGGGACAGCUCUCCUGAAAAAAGACACAACUUUAUAAAGAAGGUAAAAGAUCAUUAUACUUAAGGACACAUACCCAAGUGGGCCUAAAAGCAGCCACCCCUAAAGAAAGCGUUAAAGCUCAAAUAUACAUCCCCUACAAUAAUGAUAAAGACAUCUUUAACCCCUAGAACUACCAGGCCCAUCCAUGCAAACAUGGAUAUGAUAAUGCCAAAAUGAGUAAUAAGAGAGCCCAGCCUCUCUCAAGUGCAUUCAUGUAACUCAGAGCGAACCCAUCACUGACAAUUAACGCCCCCAAACCCCAGAGGGAAGUGAGAAAAACCCUACAAAACAAGAAAAUCUCCCAAUACCACAAGCGUUAACCCCACACAGGAGUGCCCCAAGAAAGACUAAAAGGAAAAGAAGGAACUCGGCAAACAUCAGCCCCGCCUGUUUACCAAAAACAUCGCCUCUUGCCCCAUAGUAUAAGAGGUCCCGCCUGCCCUGUGACUUAUAGUUUAACGGCCGCGGUAUUUUGACCGUGCGAAGGUAGCAUAAUCACUUGUCUUUUAAAUAGAGACCUGUAUGAAUGGCAUAACGAGGGCUUAGCUGUCUCCUUUCCCCAGUCAAUGAAAUUGAUCUGCCCGUGCAGAAGCGGGCAUACCAACAUAAGACGAGAAGACCCUAUGGAGCUUAAGACACCCGGAUAAUUCACGUUAAGAUCCUUAAAUCACCAAAGAGAAACCAAGUAAAUAUUAUCCCCCUGUCUUUGGUCGGGGCGACCGCGGAGUAACAAAAAACCCCCACGUGGAACAGGGCUAAGUCCCUAAACUUUAGAGCCACAGCUCUAAUAAACAGAACAUCUGACCAAAAAGACCCGGCAAAGCCGAUCAACGGACCCAGUUACCCUAGGGAUAACAGCGCAAUCCCCUUCUAGAGCCCAUAUCGACAAGGGGGUUUACGACCUCGAUGUUGGAUCAGGACUUCCUAAUGGUGCAGCCGCUAUUAAGGGUUCGUUUGUUCAACGAUUAAAGUCCUACGUGAUCUGAGUUCAGACCGGAGAAAUCCAGGUCGGUUUCUAUCUAUGAAUAAGCUCUUCCCUAGUACGAAAGGACCGGAAAGAGGGGGCCCAUGCUUUAAGCAGGCCUCACCCUUACCUAGUGACGCCCACUAAAAAAGGUAAAAGGGCCUGUUCAACUAGUCUGAGAAAAAGACAAA
rnacentral:rRNA from 1 species